UACGGAGGGUGCAAGCGUUAUCCGGAUUCACUGGGUUUAAAGGGUGCGUAGGUGGGUUUGUAAGUCAGUGGUGAAAUCUCCAAGCUUAACUUGGAAACUGCCGUUGAUACUAUAAAUCUUGAAUGUUGUGGAGGUGAGCGGAAUAUGUCAUGUAGCGGUGAAAUGCUUAGAUAUGACAUAGAACACCAAUUGCGAAGGCAGCUCACUACACAAAGAUUGACACUGGGGCACGAAAGCGUGGGGAGCGAACAGG
rnacentral:rRNA from 1 species